rnacentral:misc_RNA from 1 species
GAUGAAGAACGCAGCGAACGUGCGAAACGUAAUGUAAAUUGCAGAAUUCAGUGAAUCAUCGAAUCUUUGAACGCAUCUUGCGCUCCUUGGUAUUCCGAGGAGCAUGCCUGUUUGAGUGUCAUGAAUACUCUCAACUUCAACCCUUUUUUCGGAAAGGGAGGAAGGUUGGACUUGGGUGUUUGUUGAAGUGCGAGCUUCGACUCAUCCUAAAUGCAUUAGCGAUCUGCCUCGAUCACACACAAUGUGAUAAUUAAAACUAAAGCAUUGUUUAAUGAUCAAGUCGAGACUGCUUCUAACUGUCGCAAGACAAUAACGUGCAUACAUUUGUGCAUGUCAUUUGAACUCAAAUCAGGUAGGACUACCCGCUGAACUUAAGCAUAUCAAUAAGCGGAGGA